UGCACCUCAUAUCAAGCAAGACUACCCGCUGAACUUAAGCAUAUCAAUAAGCGGAGGAAAAG
rnacentral:rRNA from 1 species